rnacentral:rRNA from 1 species
UACGAAGGUGGCAAGCGUUACUCGGAAUUACUAGGCGUAAAGGGCUGGUAGGCGGUCUCGUUAGUCUGUUGUGAAAGCUCCUUGCUUAACGGGGAGAGGCCAACAGAUACUGCGAGGCUUGAGUAUAGGAGAGGGUACUGGAAUUCCCGGUGUAGCGGUGAAAUGCGCAGAGAUCGGGAGGAACACCAAUGGCGAAAGCAGGUACCUGGACUAUUACUGACGCUAAGCUGCGAAAGCUAGGGGAGCAAACAGG